AUUGAACGCUGGCGGCAGGCUUAACACCUGCAAGUCGAACGAGUGGCGGACGGGUGAGUAAUGCUUGGGAAUCUAGCUUAUGGAGGGGGAUAACUACGGGAAACUGUAGCUAAUACCGCGUACCAUAGGAUGAGCCCAAGUGGGAUUAGGUAGUUGGUGAGUUAAAGGCUCACCAAGCCGGCGAUCUCUAGCUGGUCUGAGAGGAUGACCAGCCCCACUGUGACUGAGACGAGGACCAGACUCCAACGUUAGGCAGCAGUGGGGAAGAUUGCGCAAUGGGGGCAACCUGACGCAGCCAUGCCGAGUGAAUGAAGAAGGCCUUCGGGUUGUAAAGUUCUUUCGGUAGCUAGGCGUUAACUACAGAAGAAGCACCGGGUAACUCCGUGCCAGCAGCCGCGGUAAUAC
rnacentral:rRNA from 1 species